rnacentral:misc_RNA from 1 species
UAAAGCAAAUAAGGGUGCUGUAAAAGGCUGAGAUUAUACCUAUUAGCAGAUCAUGGUAAUUCAUGCGUGGCUAGAGAUUUUUUACAGGUUAUG